rnacentral:rRNA from 1 species
AUGGGAGCUUUGUACCUGAGGAUAGAUCCUGAUACGAUGACUCUUGACAUGGGUGAGGCUAAUAAGAAGCUUCGCAUCACUAGCGAUGGUAUACAACAAUUAUUUGGGUUCCCUCGUGAUGGUCGUUCUGCACCAAGGCCGUCAGAGGAUGGAUAUGACAACGCUCUGAUGAAGUUAAGAUCGGGGCUUGACAUUAGCAGGAACAAAGAUAUCAAGACAAAGGAUUUGAGGGAUAGGCUCAAGGUGCUUGUCAAGGAUCCUAGCAAAGAUGACCUUGCUCUGAAAGUGUUCUUCAUUAUUGUGUUUAUGAAGGUUGUGUUGCCUGGUGCCGCCCCGCGUGUUUCCAGAGAGGCAGCAAUGUUUGAGAAUAUUGUCAUUGAGGACAUGGCUAAUAUGGAUUAUUGCCAGCUGAUGGUUGAUGAGCUUAGAAGGGCUGUUGUCAGGUACCAAGAUGGUGUUACCCUUGGGAAGGCAAUCACAGGCUGUGCUAUAGGGCCUGUACUAAUGUACCUUGACGACCUUAUCCGUGGCAAGACUGCGGAGCCUGACAUGUGA